ACGAGUAAAAUUGGUGAGGCGAAUUUUGUAUGGUGUGCAGUUUGAAAAAAUUCUUCGUUGAGGAUAGAUCGCUAUUUUUUAGGACUAACUCAAAUUCGAACGAGUUCAACGAAUAUUUCUUGUGCUUGUAAGACACAAACAAAAAAUCGAUCAAAAUGUUCAAAAAUCAUUUGGAAAUGAUCGGGCGCAACGAGAGCCCCAGCAAGAAGGCCAAAUUCUGGCAAUCCUACAUCAGAUCCCUGAAGGGUUCCGAGGAUAUUCGCGCUCAUGAGACGCCAAGCGCAAGACGCCCAUACAGCUCAUACCUGGAGUCGCCCACAUACAGGAGCAUCUAUGAUGAGCCAGCCACUGCCAACGAGCGUGUGCAGUCAUCUGGCUACAGAUACUUGCCAGUGAGCCGUGAUACCUAUGGCUACUCGCCACGUGCCAUCUAUGAUCAUCAUUACAGCAGAACAAUUCCAGCAAACUACGAUGCAGAGAAGGCCUGGAAUGAUCAUCUGAAGCGCAUGCAAGAAAUUGAGCGCAGAUAUCCAUCUCGCUAUGGUCUUUACUUGAGAGACAAGCCACUGACACCAAACUCUUUGGUGCCUUUGGAAUACGAGCCAGAGGAUAAGCUGCUGGCAGAGCUCAACAAGGCACGCCGCUCGGCCUCGCCUUUCCGCCCCAGCCGCACCACACGCGCUGGCAGCGAACCUUAUGUGCCAGCUCCAGCUUACUGGAACCGCGAGGGCAGCGUGCCACGCGGCCCGUCUGUGUUUGAUCGCGCCACCAGCCUGGCUCCGUUCACGCGACCAAGCUUCCGUGCCAGCUCGCUGGAACCAUUGGAUGAACUCUUUGAAAGUAAGUUGCCCGAGCCAGCAGCACAGGCUGCCGCCAUUAGGCCAAGCAUUUUUGAGCGCGCCGGCUCGCCAAGUCCCACUCCUGUCAAAGCCGGUCGCUGGGGACCGCGUCCCACUGAAGUCGCCUACGAUGCUGAGGGACUCCCAAUCUUUCAUCCACGCAACCGCAUUCGGGAUAUGCUGAGCCCCAGCCCCAACAUGCCCAUCUCAUCGAUUGUGCGCGAUCCCUUCUGGUGGGAUGUGGAUGAUCUGGUGCCCUUCCGUGCCCUCUCGGUGCCCCGUGCCUCGAGCCCAGUGGCCCGUGAUUCGUACUUGUCGCCGGUGAAGAAUCGCUACCUGUGGUCCAGGCAUCCCGCUAGACCCUUGACACCUGAGGCAGAGGAUUUUUUCUAAAAUAAAUAAGAACUUAAAUGAAAAAAAAAAAAACAAAAACUAUUCAAAAAAAAAUAUCGUUAGCUCUAAUAACAUGCGACGCUAUAUCAUAUAGCACAUCUGUAAUUUUUUUGUAUUAUAAUUUACAUAAAUUACAUAUAACGAAAUGCAAUACAAAACAAAUUGCUCACCGCUCGAUUUUGUAAACGAACGACAACGAACUAUACAACAUCAACACCAACAACAACAACAAGAACAACAACGAAUGCAUUAAUGGGGUCCCCAAACAACGACAAGCUGCUGAUUUCCAAACUGAAGAACCUGGAAAUCAGCUUAAAGUAGCUCAUCAAACUGUAGUCUCAACAUCCUCAAAGAAAACGAUUGAAUUUUUUCAUAACUGCCUGCCCCAAACUAACAGCUCCGGGGCUGUCAAUAAAAUUAUUGCCACAAGUGUUUACUUCCCGUAGUAACAAAAAAAAAAAA